rnacentral:lncRNA from 10 species
CUGUUUUCUGCUCUUAUCACAUCUGUGUUGACAUUCGUGGAACAAAUACUCAUUGAGAGCCUUUUAUGUCCCAAGCACUGUGCUGGGGAAUGCAGUUAGAAAAUAAUGAGUCCAACCAGACCUGGUUCCUGCCUUCAUGGAACUUACAUGUAGGAAAGACGGAAGCUGCAACUUAUCCAGCUCUGCAGGAGUGGUGCCUUUGACGCUCAUCCUGACUCCUGACUGAUGAAUUAUUUGGUCGACUGAGGCAGAAUCACCUUUACUGGAGCAUAAUCUGUUGGAGGCAGCAUCUCCUGAAGUCUCCAUGAGUUGCUGGAAUGAAGAAAUGUGUCAUAUGUGAACCAAAACACAUGUAAAAAUUGUUGACAAUAGCACCAUUUGUAAAAGACUAAAACUGGAAACCACCAAAUGAUCAGCAACAGAGAAUAAAAAAUUAUGGCUUAUUUCUACAAUGGAUUGCUAUGCUGCAGUAAGAAUGAAUGAACAGCAGCUACACACAACCGGUAUGGAUGAAUCUCAUGAACACAAUGUGAAGGGAAAGAAGGCAGAAACAUACUUAUCACACCCUCCAUUUAUAUAAAACUCAGAGACAAAACAAAUUUAUGGUGUUAGGAGUCAGGUUCCUUUGGGGAAGAGAGAGGGAGUAGUACCUGAAUGGAGGGGGCAUGGAGGGGGCUUCGGGCAUGCUGGUAAGAUUUUUGUUUUGUUUUUAAUCUGAGUGAUAUAGGUGGUAGUUACUUUUUGAUGUUACAUCGAGCUGUACACUUAUGAUCUGUUCA